GAUGAACGCUAGCGGCAGGCCUAACACAUGCAAGUCGAGGGGUAGAACACUUCGGUGUUUGAGACCGGCGCACGGGUGCGUAACGCGUAUGCAAUCUACCUUAUACAGGGGAAUAGCCCAGAGAAAUUUGGAUUAAUGCCCCAUAGCAUUACGACUUAGCAUCAAGAUGUAAUUAAAGUUCCAACGGUAUAAGAUGAGCAUGCGUCCCAUUAGUUAGUUGGUAAGGUAACGGCUUACCAAGACAAUGAUGGGUAGGGGUCCUGAGAGGGAGAUCCCCCACACUGGUACUGAGACACGGACCAGACUCCUACGGGAGGCAGCAGUGAGGAAUAUUGGUCAAUGGUCGCAAGACUGAACCAGCCAUGCCGCGUGCAGGAAGACGGUCCUAUGGAUUGUAAACUGCUUUUAUACAGGAAGAAACCCUCCCACGUGUGGGAGCUUGACGGUACUGUAGGAAUAAGGAUCGGCUAACUCCGUGCCAGCCGCCGCGGUAAGAC
rnacentral:rRNA from 1 species